CGCGGCGGCUGGCGUCGGGAAAGUACAGUAAAAAGUCCGAGGGCAGCCGCCGGGCGCAGGAUGGGAUCCGGCUCCUCCAGCUACCGGCCCAAGGCCAUCUACCUGGACAUCGAUGGACGCAUUCAGAAGCUGGUGUCGAGGACAAGAGAACCACAAGCCGUGGCCAGUCUGCUGAGAGACCACUGAGGGACAGACGGGUUGUGGGCCUGGAGCAGCCCCGGAGGGAAGGAGCAUUUGAAAGUGGACAGGUAGAGCCCAGGCCCAGAGAGCCCCAGGGCUGCUGCCAGGAAGGCCAGCGCAUCCCUCCAGAGAGAGAAGAAUUAAUCCAGAGCGUGCUGGCGCAGGUUGCAGAGCAGUUCUCAAGAGCAUUCAAAAUCAAUGAACUGAAAGCUGAAGUUGCAAAUCACUUGGCUGUCCUAGAGAAACGCGUGGAAUUGGAAGGACUAAAAGUGGUGGAGAUUGAGAAAUGCAAGAGUGACAUUAAGAAGAUGAGGGAGGAGCUGGCGGCCAGAAGCAGCAGGACCAACUGCCCCUGUAAGUACAGUUUUUUGGAUAACCACAAGAAGUUGACUCCUCGACGCGAUGUUCCCACUUACCCCAAGUACCUGCUCUCUCCAGAGACCAUCGAGGCCCUGCGGAAGCCGACCUUUGACGUCUGGCUUUGGGAGCCCAAUGAGAUGCUGAGCUGCCUGGAGCACAUGUACCACGACCUCGGGCUGGUCAGGGACUUCAGCAUCAACCCUGUCACCCUCAGGAGGUGGCUGUUCUGCGUCCACGACAACUACAGAAACAACCCCUUCCACAACUUCCGGCACUGCUUCUGCGUGGCCCAGAUGAUGUACAGCAUGGUGUGGCUCUGCAGUCUCCAGGAGAACUUCUCACAAAUGGAUAUCCUGAUCCUAAUGACAGCGGCCAUCUGCCACGAUCUGGACCAUCCCGGCUACAACAACACGUACCAGAUCAAUGCCCGCACAGAGCUGGCGGUCCGCUACAAUGACAUCUCACCGCUGGAGAACCACCACUGCGCCGUGGCCUUCCAGAUCCUCGCCGAGCCUGAGUGCAACAUCUUCUCCAACAUCCCACCUGAUGGGUUCAAGCAGAUCCGACAGGGAAUGAUCACAUUAAUCUUGGCCACUGACAUGGCAAGACAUGCAGAAAUUAUGGAUUCUUUCAAAGAGAAAAUGGAGAAUUUUGACUACAGCAACGAGGAGCACAUGACCCUGCUGAAGAUGAUUUUGAUAAAAUGCUGUGAUAUCUCUAACGAGGUCCGUCCAAUGGAAGUCGCAGAGCCUUGGGUGGACUGUUUAUUAGAGGAAUAUUUUAUGCAGAGCGACCGUGAGAAGUCAGAAGGCCUUCCCGUGGCCCCGUUCAUGGACCGAGACAAAGUGACCAAGGCCACAGCCCAGAUUGGGUUCAUCAAGUUUGUCCUGAUCCCAAUGUUUGAAACAGUGACCAAGCUCUUCCCCAUGGUUGAGGAGAUCAUGCUGCAGCCACUUUGGGAAUCCCGAGAUCGCUACGAGGAACUGAAGCGGAUAGAUGAUGCCAUGAAAGAGUUACAGAAGAAGACUGACAGCUUGACGUCUGGGGCCACCGAGAAGUCCAGAGAGAGAAGCAGAGAUGUGAAAAACAGUGAAGGAGACUGUGCCUGAGGAAAGCGGGGGGCGUGGCUGCGGUUCUGGACAGGCUGGCCGAGCUGCGCGGGAUCCUUGUGCAGGGAAGAGCUGCCCUGGGCACCUGGCACCACAAAACCACGUUUUCUAAGAACCAUUUUGUUCACUGAUACAAAAAAAAAAAAAAGGAAUUCAUGAUGCUGUACAGAAUUUUAUUUUUAAACUGUCUUUUAAAUAAUAUAUUCUUAUACGGAAA
rnacentral:sRNA from 1 species